rnacentral:rRNA from 1 species
GAUGAACGCUAGCUACAGGCUUAACACAUGCAAGUCGAGGGGAAACGAUAGAGAAAGCUUGCUUUUUCUAGGCGUCGACCGGCGCACGGGUGAGUAACGCGUAUCCAACCUGCCCACCACUUGGGGAUAACCUUGCGAAAGUAAGACUAAUACCCAAUGACGUCCAUAGAAGACAUCUGAAAUGGAUUAAAGAUUUAUCGGUGAUGGAUGGGGAUGCGUCUGAUUAGCUUGUUGGCGGGGUAACGGCCCACCAAGGCGACGAUCAGUAGGGGUUAUGAGAGAAAGGUCCCCCAAAUGGGAACGAAGCAACGGACCAAACUCCAACGGGAGGCAGCAGGGAGGAAUAUUGGUCAAUGGGCGAGAGCCUGAACCAGCCAAGUAGCGUGCAGGAUGACGGCCCUAUGGGUUGUAAACUGCUUUUAUAAGGGAAUAAAGUGAGUCUCGUGAGACUUUUUGCAUGUACCUUAUGAAUAAGGACCGGCUAAUUCCGUGCCAGCAGCCGCCGUAA